GAAGGGCACGCACGGCCGCCUUCGCAGCCGAGAUCGCGUCCUCCCGCCUUCUCCCCGCGUGAUUUUGACCGCCACGACUCCCCUGUUGAUUCCGUGAAACACACAACUCCCUCCUUGCCUCCCUGGAGUGGCAAACCGGGAGAGGAGCCCAGAAUGGUAAGCAGGAGCCAGCAUGCCAUCUCCCAGGAGCCUGAGCCGGGGCCUCUCACUUAGGUCUAGUUUCUUGUCCAAGACACCGCCUCUGCCUUUUGCAACAUUGCAAUGAUUGGCAAAAAGAAUGACCUCAUCUCUCUGGCUCAAUCUUGCCCAAUCUCUGGAACCUUCUAUGACUCAGACCCAGGCCAUUCCACAUGUUGUGCUGGGUUUGGAAAGGAUAAAACACACACAGCCCACCCUGCACAACAACAACCGGGCUCAGCCACAUGACUCUCUGGAAAUGGCUCCCAGCUCCCCACAGUUUGAACAUAAAUAAGGUGGAGCACACGAAGUUGAAGGCAGCAUUACGGAACUCAGACCUACUCCUGUGAGCACUGGGAAGUGUGGAAGGUGCCCUGCCAUAAAAGCAUGUAGAUUCUGGUUCCAACCCUGCCCGAGGGUUGAGCUUGCAGUUUGCAAUUCUCAAGGAAGACAUUUUUCCUCCUGUACUGCCUGCUACCAGCAGGACAGAGGAACCUUCCAGCAAGCCUUUUAUCUGGCUUCACAAGGAACAAGUGCGUUGUAAUGCUGAGUCCCCCUCAGACUACACCCACACAGCUAUAAAGACACAUCUACCUACACGGGAAAGAAUGUGAGCCUGAGAAUGAGGACCAACCUCUCCUAAAAUGAGAACUCACUCCCUGUCUUACUCAUAAAUGGCACCAUAAGUACUGGUUGAAUCGUCUGCUUUCUUUUUCUUCCAAACUCUUAUUCUCUAGACUUUGGUGCUCCAGAGCAGCAUAACUCAUUUUAGCUUCUCAUUCACCCUCACCCGAGUCCCCUGGGCUUGGCUUCUUGCCUCCUUGCCUGUAGAUAUUGCCUUUGAGUCCAGGCUGAGGCUCUGAAACUCAUCCUUUGCUCACACAUCUAUGGAAUCAGUAUGCUAUCCCUGCCUGGCCAGAUUGGGGUCCCAGCUCCUCUGAUGCAGAGCAGCCUGGCCAUCUGCUCAUACCCUGAGAGACCAUGGUCACAAUUUAAGGAAUCAGUUUGGAUAUUCCCUGAGAGCUCCUGCCAUUCCCGUCCCCUCCCAGAUAGAGCCACCAGAAGCCGUCCACCGGGAGACUCAGGCCUCCUCAUUCAGUCAAUCGUGACUGAGCAGUGCUUCUCGAAGUUUAACAUGCAGACAGAUCACCUGGGGAUCAGGUCAUAUUCUGAUAUUUGGGUCUGGGGUGGGGUGGGAUCCUGCAUCUCUUAAGAAGUUCCCAAAUCAUGUUAAUGGUUCAUGAACUUCACUUUGAGUAGUAACAUGAGACUGUGUAGACUAUCAACUUCAACUUCACCUGGAGAUAGGGUCUAUAAUGCAAUUUUUUCCCCAUUUAUUAGCAAACAUGUAUUAAACACUUUCUCUGUCUUCAUGGUCAUUGCUGCACUGAUAAGAUCCCUUCUUUGCUUUCAAGGAGCUGACAAACUAAUAGUUUAGAAGCCUAUAUGUUUGAGGGGCACUUGGGUGACUCAGUCAGUUGAGCGUCUGACUUUGGCUCAGGUCUCACAGUUUGUGGGUUCAAGCCCCGUGUUGGGCUCUGUGCUGACAGCUCAGAGCCUGGAGCCUUCUUUGGAUUUUGUGUCUCGCUGUCUCUCUGCUCUUCCCCCGCUCAUGCUCUGUCUCUCUCUUCUUCAAAAAUAAAUAAAACAUUAAAAAAAAUUUUUUUAAGCCUAUAUAUUUGGGACCUAUAUACUUUAUAAAGCUUAAUUCUCACAACAUCCCUAUUGGAUUAGUAUUAUUUCUGUAUUCUACAUGAGGAAACUGAGCCUUAAAGAAGUUAAGAAGCUUGUCAAAGUUGUGCUGAUGGGAAAUGACAGCCCGGAUUCCAGCUCACAUCUCUGGCUCUGAGCCUUCAUACUUUCUGGGAUAUCUCAAGCAUCUCUUCCUUAAUGCUCUUAUGUUGCCAGAAUCCAUACAGCUGGGCCUCUGCUUCAGUUUCCUUGCCUAACACUUUAGUUUUUGGCAUUCUGGCUUACUUAAGCUGAGCCCUGCUCCAACCCCUUCCCGUCCCUCCCUACUUCCCCCUCCAGCUCGGCUAGUGAUCCUGUAUCCAGCUCUUUCCAGUCCCUCCUUACCUGUCCAUCUCCUAGUUGGGAUUCUGCUACAGAUAGUCCAGUUGCCUGGAAACAAAACAUCAUUCCAUGUUGCAAAAUAGCUUCUAGGAACUAGAAUGUUUCCUUUCCUCUAUAGCUCACCCCUCAUGAUUCUUUGAAGUUUCAUACCAGGCAUCAGGCACUUCCUAAAGUAAAUAAGCUACAUAAUAGGCACAGUGGAGAAAGAAGGAAGUGGCACUAAUUUAUGCAAACUUCAUUCUCCAACCUCUUAAGCCCAGGGCGGUAUUCCUAAUGGGCCAGGCAUCCUUUCCCUAGGGAUGGGUGUGGCAGCUAGUAGAGCUCACGAUUUGACUCAUCCCAAACACAGUCUCUGCUCUGCCAGGCUCUGCUGAGGCUCUGGGGACAGCAUAAAGAGUGGGGUAGAGUCUGGGGAGUUGUCUGCAUAGGAUGGAUGUUACAUAGACCACAGAAGUCCUGGCCUGUCAUCAUAGCUUUGAUUUCUCCUAGGGUUCCCCACUCCCUCCCCACCUGCCCUUCUUAGGGCCAACUUUAAGCAAGGAGCUUACUUCUUAUUGGCUCAUUUACUCCCAUGUAAUUACCCAGUGCAGAGGGAAGGGAAGUAUUUGCUAUUGCUUCAACUGUUUCAUCUUACUUAGAGUGGCAGAAUUUAGCAAGAAUUAGGAAUUGAAAUGUGUCAUUGACAGUUUUCACUGACCAAAGCAACGUUUUCACUGUUACUCAAUGUAAUCCAUUCUACCCCAAGACACUAUGACUUUAGGUGAAAAAUCUCUACCAGAAUUUUGUAAACCAUUCCAUGCUUAGACUGACACUUUUGAUGAUCAUAAACCAGACUUUAGGCAAUCUUCUGUAGGCCCUAUAUCAUUUUAAGUGACAUCUGUUACUUGUUUUAAGUAUUCCUUCCCUCCACGCACAUACCCAGCGGAUGGCAAUUCCUGCCCGACCCAAGCUCAAGUUUGUCAUGGACCUUCUGACCCUCUGACUGCGUGUAGCUGGGUCCUCUUCCCGACACUGUGAGACAACUUUAACCACACCUCAGGCAGCAUCUCUGUAAGUCAUCCAAACUCCAUCUGCCCUUGCCCCCAGUCAUACAAAAUGUAAACAUGUUCACGGUCAACAGUGUGGUAGCUUGUGGUUUCCUUUAAUUCAAAGUUCAAAUCCCCCUCAGGGUUUACCAUGGUUUCUGUGCAAGUCCCAGAGUCCUUUUUUGUUUACUCUGAGUAUUCAGAUGGCAGACAGAGAGCUUCAGCCUAACUAACCACAGCAUCCUGUAGUCAGCAUGAAGAGUUUACAUGCAUCUUGAAAACUUUUGAGUGUUACUUGAUCUAGUGCCCUAAGAAGUAAUCCAAAGUAAAAUCUCAAACCUUUGCAUCAAUAUUUUCCUUUGGGGACUCCAAAGGAAAUUUUGUGAUCAAAUGCCAUCAUUUUUUACCUAUGAUGUUGACUGUGUAAUUAUUGGCAAUGUUCAGGCAUUCUUUGUUGCAAAUUCUUUUGAAACCACUGGCAAAUGCUUAGUAGUAUUGAUAAUACUGACCAAAGAUUAGUUUGGAAAUUUAAU